AGGAUGAUCUCCCCGUCCAUAUGCUAUUAUUGCAACAGGACCAACCGGUUCCACAUUGUCUUUUACAGCAUUGCAAAUUCAUCAACCAUGAGCAUCCAUGUCCAGAACAUAAUUUAUCUGCUGCUAGAGACCACACAAAUUUCUUCCUCACAUCAAACUCAAGGAACACACGCACAUUCUAAACAUCUCACUAUACUACAAUCACCCCAAAAUAGGAAGCUCUGUUGAUUUUCACAUCACCACCUGAGUCCGAUCUGGUUGCAGCUAGGAGCACAAGCAUCAGUAGCCCUUUGUUUCACCCUCAUCAGUGUCUAACAUCUCCAAUCUUUUCAACCAUUCAUGGUAUCUUUUCAGGUGUCGUGUGGGGCAUGGCAACACCCAGUUCCUUAGCAUUCCUAGCUAAUUUUGCCACAGCUGGGUAGCCCCCACUCCACCUGCAAUUCUGAAAACAAAUAGAGUUUAAUUUCUUAGCUUCCGAAUGGCCCACGAGGCCGCAUUAUUCGGAUUUGGACUUUGCAUUAUUCUUUCAAAUGAGCUCGUCAAACAGAUUAGCAUGGGCCGCGAUUAGCGUUUAGAUGUUGGUUAGACGCCGCUGCUGUAUUUUAUUCGGGCAACCAAGAUUUUGCUUCAGCGGUUGAUGAGGAAUGUUUCUCUAAAAUAAGGCCGGGUUCGAGAUGUAGGAUUUUUCGCCGCAUGGGGCUCGUGCCACGUACUGCAGGAGCAAUCAGACAGCAAAUGCUUUGGGAGAAUAUAUGGUGCUGGUAAUAUAGAUCGCCUGUAAUGAUAGCAGCAUGCAUGCGCGUUCAUCAUUGCAUAUCAUUUAUUUCCCCCAUAAAUGGUAAUCUGUCGGUCUCUGUAUAAUGCAUCGCUUAAUCUAGAAUUGGGUCGCCGUGGUCCCGUUUGUUUUCGCAUCUCUCAAACCAUGCUUGAUGGUUGGGGAUCGUCAAAAAAUCAAACAACCUCGAGCGCCGUUUGUAGGCGAAAACUUCCUAAUCUCGCAAGUUCGAUCCCUCACAAGUUCGGGAUCAGCAGAUAAAACUCAGUUAACCUCGCAAGUUCUAGACCAAUGAAUAAAAUUGGUUAACCUUGCAACUUCCUUGUUACUUUAGCUUCGAAGCUAACGGCUAUUGGCUGAUGGCUAAGUUACAAAUUAACUUACCUCGAGUGUUCGAAGCUAGUGUUGAACACCAAGCCUUUCACUCUGCUUUUUACUCAGGAUCGGAACUGGACUAGACGCUACGAGGUUGAAGGUACGAGGUUAAGAAGCUCUUUCAGCACGAGACUAAGGGCGCGAAGCUGAAGGCUCAAUCUGGCACAGAAAAGAAGUCUCGAGGUUAAGGAUACAAAGAAGUGAGAAACGUGGCUACAUGAAGGCGUGAGAAACGUGACUACAUGGAGGCGUGAGAAGCGUGACUACAAGAAGGUGUGAGAAGCGUGACUACGUAGGAGAAUUCAAUUUGUACGCGUUACCCAAUUGGCCUUCAUAUACGGCAUACCCUAGGAAUUAUCUUAAGAGUGUAGUAGGUGAAGAAGGACAUUUUUAGGAUGUAAAAUGACCUACGAGUCACUAUAAAAGGGGAGCCCUACCCGUUGUAAAGGGGGACGAAUGUUUUUCAAGAGAUUACAAGUGUAUUUCCCGUUCCAUCUGUUGUGCUCGAACUCCUUUGAGACCAACACUUGGAUUAUAAUCUAAGCAAAGAUUUUUUCGCUUCUUGCUUUUCGCUUCUUAUAGUUCAAAUAUCUGAAGCGGCUUACCACAUAAGCAAGAUGUUUGGUGGAAUUCUUGCUUAUUUUCACCGAUAAGUCGUUUAUAUGCGGAAAUAAACAGGGCUAGAUAUUUGGUUUCCACUCCUAUUGUUUCCAGUCCAAUUGUUUCCCAUGAUGAGCUUGAAUGCUUGAUCUAGAAUCGCUGUGCGAGUUGCCUAGCCAUUUGGUUUCCACUCCCAUUUUUUGUUGGUGUCGCCGUGCCGGCCAGCCUCGAUGGGUGCUGACUUAGUUUAAACCGAAUGCAGUUUGACUGGACUGCAAACUCGCAGUAGUUUAUAUGCUCUUUGUCUUUCCCACGAAGAGCCGUACCCCGUACGUACUCCCGUAUUCUAUCGAUAGGAACAGCUCUGUAAGUCUGUAACUAAAGAGAUAAAAACUAUAUAUGCAGUGCAUUUCUUGCUGGCUUGCUGCAACACGUAGGCUCCGUCCGUGUUUGAAACAACUAUAAAUUAAUAGAAUCUGGAUUGGAUUAAACAGAGGGCCGAUUGUGAAGGCCACAUGUUUACGAUGCCCUUGUUUAUGAAGGCAGAAAUGUCAUUGUUGGGACGGGGCAAAAUGACCUUUUCUCGACCUAGAAUUUCCUAGAAGCUAAGUGAGAGGGGGAUAAUCGACUAUGGGUUAGGAUUGUUGAAAACUAUUCCUUAAUCCCAACUAUUUAGACUAGAUUGUGAUUAUUUUUGCUGGAUUGUAGAAUUUUUAGUAGAUCCUAAUGGCAUCACAGUUGGACCUCAAUUUCUACAGCUCACGUCCACUUGUUUUGUCCGUUACCUCACUUCAUGCCUUUGAAAGGGAAGGUCGGUUCGCUGGGGCGAUUUGGUCAGUCUUCUGUGGCGUUACGCACGUAGCGCCAGAGUUGCAGGUGCCAGUCAGCACCAUGUCCUCCUGUGAUCACUUUCGUUGCUGUCCGCCGAUGGGAACGUCGCAAGGGCGUGCGAAACUAACCGUUGGACCGGGUCAAUCGCGUCUUAGUUGGACUGACAGAACACCUCGUGUCAUGUUAUGACCGGUAGCUGUGUGGUGAAGAAGACCCAUCCAAGAGGGGUCAUCAUGGCAUAGAUCGGCACGGAGCUCGGACCCGUCGAGCAGAAACCAGGUUUGAUCAUCACAGCCUGACCCGAAAACCGCAGGGAGAAACCAGACUGGUAGCAGUCGUAGUGGAGCAUCGCUGAAAGCUUGUAUCUUCUGCGAGAAAUUACGACUGCGGGGGAGCGAAACGAAGUGGAAGCAGGCUGCAACCGGAACUGGUGCCCGACGCCCGGCGGCCUACACGUACACGAGCCGAAGGUCGAAGCUGCGGAGCACACCGCCGCGCUGAACUGCUGAACGCAACGGCGGACCAACGGCAACGACCCUCAGCGCCGCGCGGCUCCGGUAUCUCCCUCUCAGCAAAAGGCCAGUGAAGGCGCCGUGAGGGCCCCAGCGGCAGGCCGCCAGCCAGGCCGGGGAGGCCCACCGCGACCGGUCCACCAACCCGGUCUCACGACUGACUGGCUGGCUGGCUGGUUUGCUAAAACCCGCCUCCCCCGCUCGCUCCUGCUACUCAAUCCUCCUCAUCCCGUGCCCUCCAAGGGACGAAAUCGAAGACGGCAACGCCACACGCCCACACCAGAGCCAAGCGACCAGCGUAGGAACCCACGCGCCGGCGCCUCCCAGCUCUUACCCUGCUGGGCGUGCGGUGGUUCGUUAGUGGCGGGAUUUUCCUUCCAUUUUCCGGCCGCCGUCUUGGCAUCCCGAUUCCCGGCCUCUCGCGGCGUGCCGCCGACACCACCGAGCAAAGGAAAGCAGCUCCUGAUUUAAGCUCAAUUCGUGGGGGAUCGAGGCAUCGUGGCCUUCCGAUUGCUUCGCCGCCCGCUCCUCCGAAAUCUCGCCGCCUUUUGAUCUCUCUCACCGCGUGGUGCGGAAGGAUGGGGGAGGGGGCGAAGGCGAUGCUGGCGAAGCCGAUCCAGCUCGCGGACCAGGUGGCGCAGCAGGCGGGGUACCAGUGCCUCCGGACGGACUGCACGGAGCUCCGGGCGCGCGCCAAGAAGCUCGCCGAGCUCCUGCGGCAGGCGGCGCGGGCAGACCUGUACGAGCGCCCCGCCGCGCGCGUCAUGGCGGACACCGAGCGGGCGCUCGCCAAGGCCGCCGGCAUGGCCGCCCGCUGCUUCCAGAGCCACUCCCGCCUCCGCCGCUUCUUCACGCUCAACCCGGUGUCGGGGCUCCCGCGCACCCUCGCCAUGCUCGACACCGCGCUCGAGGACAUCGACUGGCUCAUCCGCAUCUCGUCCCCGCAGGCCGACGACGACGGCGACCUCCGGGGCCUCCCCAACAUCGCCCAGAACGAGCCCGUGCUCGGCAUGAUCUGGGACAACAUCGCGCGCCUCCACACCGGCGGGCUCGCAGCGCGGGCCGACUCCGCCGCCACGCUCGCCUCCCUCGCCCGCGAUAACCCCCACUACGCCAAGUACAUCAUCGAGGAGGACGGCGUCCCGCCCCUCGUCAAGCUGCUCAAGGAAGGCACCGACGACGGCCAGGAGGCUGCCGCCAUGGCGCUCGGCCUUCUCUUCCGCGACGAGGAGAGCGUGGAGAAGCUCCUCCACACCGGGGUGUGCUCCGUCUUCGCCGCCGCGCUCAAGGAGCCGCCGAUGCGCGUGCAGGCCGCGGUCGCGGACGCCAUCGCGUCGCUCGCGAACCACAGCCAGAAAUGCAAGGACCUCUUCGCCCAGAACUACGCCGUCCGGCACCUCGUCGGCCACCUCGCCUCCGGAACCAUCCAGGAGCACAGCAGGUACUCUGUCAGUGGGAACGGCUCUAGGAACACCCCUACUCCGGCGGCGGCCAUGUCCUCGCUCGACAAGCUUCACUCCGUUGUGCUUGCCAAGUCGCGCAGCGUGCACCAAGGCGGGUCUGGUUCCUCAACAAACGAGCCGCCGAACCAGCCAGAAGCCUCGAAUGGCGGCCAGCAGCGAGAAAGAUCGAACCAGAUGCAAUCGGUGGUGAAAUCCGCGAUAGCGGCCAAGACAAACGUAGCCGCGCCUCCACCCAGUAGGCCUCAGCUGAGUUCGAACGGUUCGAGCGGCCGCGGAUCGCGCGAGGCCGAGGACCCGGCUACCAAGGCGCACAUGAAGGCUAUGGCGGCGAAGGCUCUGUGGAAGCUCGCGCGAGGCCAUGUCGGAGUCUGCACCAGCAUUACGGAGUCUCGCGCGCUCCUCUGCUUCGCCAGGAUCCUCGAGAACGGCGACGGCGGCGCGGGCACGCACCUGCAGUUCUACUCCGCGAUGGCGAUCAUGGAGAUCACCCGUGUCGCCGAACACAACCUCGCGCUCCGGCAGUCCGCGUUCAAGCCCAGCUCGCCGGUGGCCAAGGCCGUCGUGGAGCAGCUCCUCCGCAUCGUACGCAAGGGAGACGACGACGAACUGCUGUGCCCGUGCGUCACCGCCCUGGGCUGCUUGUCGCGCACAUUCACCGCGAGCGAGACACGCGUGAUCGGCCCGCUGGUGCAGCUGCUCGACGACAGGGAGAUCCCGGUCAUGAAGGAGGCCGUGGUGGCGCUCACCAAGUUCGCCUGCACCGAGAACCACCUGCACGUGAACCAUUGCAAGGCCAUCAUGGACGCCGGCGGCGCGCGGCACCUCGUCCAGCUCGUGUACCUCGGAGACCAUCUGCAGAUCGAGGCGCUCAUACUGCUCUGCUACAUUGCGCUGCACGUCCCAGAGAGCGAAGAGCUCGCGCAGGCCGGGGUGCUCGCCGUGCUCAUGUGGGCGUCCAAGCAGGCACACAUGGUGCAGGACCUGCGCGUUGAGGCACUGCUGCCGAACGCCAAGGGUCGGCUGGACCUCUUCCAGUCCAGGGCAUCCAGGUGAUGAUUGCAGGCUUGCAGCAAUCACCCGGUGGAGAUGAGUUUGUUCAUCUUGCUUUACAGAAUCAGAUUAGAUUUGUGUCUAUUUUUCUUUGCAGUUUUAAGUUCCAGAUAUGCGAUUGUUAGAGUGUACAUAUCCCGGUUCCGUUUGUCAAAGAAAGUGUUGAUUGAAUUGAAUCGUCUCAUUCUUAAGUCCUGAGGAAUUCAUGUUGAUCAUUCUGUACGUGUAAAGUCGAAAUGAAAAGAAAGGUUCUGUUCAUACGAUUGCUUCAGUAUGUUAGGUAGCAAUACUUGGUUAUGUGUAGCUUCAGACAUAAUGGCAGGUUGACUUGACUCCUAAUGAAGCCUGAGUCACUUCUUCCUUUUGACUUGUAUAUAGAUCAAUUGGGACACAUCAUGCUACAGAAUAGCAGGUUCAUUGCUCUAUCAUGUUUAUUAUCUUUUUAGAAAAAAAAAGUUUUGUGGUCAAAAAUUGAGUUAAUUUCUGCUUGAUCACUUUCCACAAUUAUCUGUCCUCCUUGAGGAAGCAGGAUACUAUUUUGCAAAAGUACUGUUGAAGUUUCAGUCAAAACUAUUGUAUCCAUGUUUGGACUUCUGGAAACAUUUGUUUUUGAGAUUUAGUCCUCUUCAAUCGACUCAUUUCUUGCUUAUCUAUCAAUCACCCAAAAGUGCACUAGAAAUUUAAUUGGCAAUGGAGCUUUGUGGUUAGGGUUUGGGGACUACCUGUGGCCUGCAAGCCUAGAAGGAGCUUGGGGGCGGCUCGCCGGCCGGCGGUGGAGGUGGAAGAGACGGCAGCGGAGGCGGUGAGGGCACCGCUAGAGCCGAGUGGUGGGAGAUCCCUGGUAGGCAGUGAAGGCGGCACCCCAACGGGUUAGCGUCGGCGGCGGCGGAGGCCGCCGGAGCAUGAAGGAGGCGGGCGACGGCGGGGGCAUCGCGUCGGGGCCUCGCGCGGCUUGGGCUAUCGGAAGAAACCGAAGAAGACGAAGAUGGGAGGAAGAGAAAGAUAACAGAGAAGGGGGGGUGUGAUUUCAAUCGUUGGAUCUAUAUCAAAUGGAUAGGAACGGUGAUUGAUAGAAAAUGGAUAUUUCAAUCGAUUGAAGAGAAGACAGUCCCUUUAUUUUUCACUAAGGAUUCUUGAAACAAUUUGACUUCUUUAUUCAUACGUUUGUAAACUUGUACUUCCUGAGAAAAUUUAGUACAAUAGUACUUAUCGGCUGCCGAUGAAUCCCAAGGAAAUUGAGGUCGAUCAAAAUCUUGCAAUAGAAGCUCCUG
rnacentral:lncRNA from 1 species